CCUACGGGGGGCAGCAGUGGGGAAUAUUGGACAAUGGGGGGAACCCUGAUCCAGCCAUGCCGCGUGUGUGAAGAAGGCCCUCGGGUUGUAAAGCACUUUCAGUGAGGAAGAACGCCUGGUGGUUAAUACCCAUCAGGAAAGACAUCACUCACAGAAGAAGCACCGGCUAACUCCGUGCCAGCAGCCGCGGUAAUACGGAGGGUGCGAGCGUUAAUCGGAAUUACUGGGCGUAAAGCGCGCGUAGGUGGCUUGAUAAGCCGGUUGUGAAAGCCCGGGGCUCAACCUGGGAACGGCAUCCGGAACUGUCAAGCUAGAGUGCAGGAGAGGAAGGUAGAAUUCCCGGUGUAGCGGUGAAAUGCGUAGAGAUCGGGAGGAAUACCAGUGGCGAAGGCGGCCUUCUGGACUGACACUGACACUGAGGUGCGAAAGCGUGGGUAGCAAACAGGAUUAGAUACCCGAGUAGUC
rnacentral:rRNA from 1 species